ACUUUCAACAAUGGAUCUCUUGGUUCCGGCAUCGAUGAAGAACGCAGCGAAAUGCGAUAAUUAAUGUGAAUUGCAGAAUUCAGUGAAUCAUCGAGUCUUUGAACGCACAUUGCACCCCCUGGUAUUCCGGGGGGUAUGCCUGUCCGAGCGUCAUUUCUGCCCUCAAGCACGGCUUGUGUGUUGGGUCCUCGUCCCCCCGGGGACGGGCCCGAAAGGCAGCGGCGGCACCGCGUCCGGUCCUCGAGCGUAUGGGGCUUUGUCACCCGCUCUUGUAGGCCCGGCCGGCGCUGGCCGACGCUGAAAAGCAACCAAUUAUUUUUCCAGGUUGACCUCGGAUCAGGUAGGGAUACCCGCUGAACUUAAGCAUAUCAAUAAGCGGAGGAAAAGAAACCAACCGGGAUUGCCUCAGUAACGGCGAGUGAAGCGGCAAGAGCUCAAAUUUGAAAUCUGGCCCCCUCGGGGUCCGAGUUGUAAUUUGCAGAGGAUGCUUCGGGUGCGGCCCCCGUCUAAGUGCCCUGGAACGGGCCGUCAUAGAGGGUGAGAAUCCCGUCUGGGACGGGGUGUCCGCGUCCGUGUGAAGCUCCUUCGACGAGUCGAGUUGUUUGGGAAUGCAGCUCUAAAUGGGUGGUAAAUUUCAUCUAAAGCUAAAUACUGGCCGGAGACCGAUAGCGCACAAGUAGAGUGAUCGAAAGAUGAAAAGCACUUUGAAAAGAGAGUUAAAAAGCACGUGAAAUUGUUGAAAGGGAAGCGCUUGCGACCAGACUCGCCCGCGGGGUUCAGCCGGCAUUCGUGCCGGUGUACUUCCCCGUGGGCGGGCCAGCGUCGGUUUGGGCGGCAGGUCAAAGGCCCCCGGAAUGUAGUGCCCUUCGGGGCACCUUAUAGCCGGGGGUGCAAUGCUGCCAGCCUGGACCGAGGAACGCGCUUCGGCACGGACGCUGGCAUAAUGGUUGUAAACGACCCGUCUUGAAACACGGACCAAGGAGUCUAACAUCUACGCGAGUGUUCGGGUGUCAAACCCGUGCGCGCAGUGAAAGCGAACGGAGGUGGGAGCCCCCUCGCGGGGCGCACCAUCGACCGAUCCUGAUGUCUUCGGAUGGAUUUGAGUAAGAGCGUAAAUGUGGGGACCCGAAAGAUGGUGAACUAUGCCUGAAUAGGGCGAAGCCAGAGGAAACUCUGGUGGAGGCUCGCAGCGGUUCUGACGUGCAAAUCGAUCGUCAAAUUUGGGUAUAGGGGCGAAAGACUAAUCGAACCAUCUGGUAGCUGGUUCCUGCCGAAGUUUCCCUCAGGAUAGCAGUAGCGCGGAUCAGUUUUAUGAGGUAAAGCGAAUGAUUAGAGGCAUUGGGGUUGAAACAACCUUAACCUAUUCUCAAACUUUAAAUAUGUAAGAAGCCCUUGUUGCUUAGUUGAACGUGGGCAUUAGAAUGAAGCGCUAUUAGUGGGCCAUUUUUGGUAAGCAGAACUGGCGAUGCGGGAUGAACCGAACGCGAGGUUAAGGUGCCGGAAUGCACGCUCAUCAGACACCACAAAAGGUGUUAGUUCAUCUAGACAGCCCGACGGUGGCCAUGGAAGUCGGAAUCCGCUAAGGAGUGUGUAACAACUCACGGGCCGAAUGAACUAGCCCUGAAAAUGGAUGGCGCUCAAGCGUGUUACCCAUACCUCGCCGUCGGGGUAGAAACGAUGCCCCGACGAGUAGGCAGGCGUGGGGGUCCGUGACGAAGCCUUGGGAGUGAUCCCGGGUCGAACGGCCCCUAGUGCAGAUCUUGGUGGUAGUAGCAAAUACUCAAAUGAGAACUUUGAGGACUGAAGUGGGGAAAGGUUCCAUGUGAACAGCAGUUGGACAUGGGUUAGUCGAUCCUAAGGCAUAGGGAAGUUCCGUUUGAAAGGCGCCCUCGUGCGCCGUGUGCCGAAAGGGAAGCCGGUUAACAUUCCGGCACCUGGAUGUGGAUUCUCCACGGCAACGUAACUGAACGCGGAGACGUCGGCGGGGGUCCUGGGAAGAGUUAUCUUUUCUUCUUGACAGCCUAUCACCCUGAAAUCGGUUUGUCCGGAGCUAGGGUUCCAUGGCUGGCAGAGCCCUGCACCUUUGCAGGGUCCGGUGCGCCCCCGA
rnacentral:rRNA from 1 species